GAUACUAUAGCUUAACUGGUAAAGCUAAGAGCUGUUAACUCUUAAGAUGUGGGUUCAAAUCCUACUGGUAUCGCUA
rnacentral:tRNA from 1 species